rnacentral:lncRNA from 1 species
AGAUCACUCAGCUGCAUCUCGAGAAUCAGCAGAACAGCCAACUGGGGCAUUAUCAAAAAAAAAAAAGAAAAAAAAAGAAAAAAAAGAAAGAGGAGGGUGCAAAACCGAAUCAAAAGAAAUCCAAAUCAAAAGAAAUCAAAAGCAAAAUCAAAAGAAAGAAAAAUCAAAAAAACAAAAGAAAGAUAGCACCCUCAAAGUCCCAAGUUGACUGAUGCUGAAUUCGAUCGAAAAGAAGAGAUCAACUGCCAUGUGUCAUGGUCAGUCAUAUCAGCAGAGAGUGAAAAAGCAUU